GACGAACGCUGGCGGCGUGCUUAACACAUGCAAGUCGAACGGAAAGGCCCUGCUUUUGUGGGGUGCUCGAGUGGCGAACGGGUGAGUAACACGUGAGUAACCUGCCCUUGACUUUGGGAUAACUUCAGGAAACUGGGGCUAAUACCGGAUAGGAGCUCCUGCUGCAUGGUGGGGGUUGGAAAGUUUCGGCGGUUGGGGAUGGACUCGCGGCUUAUCAGCUUGUUGGUGGGGUAGUGGCUUACCAAGGCUUUGACGGGUAGCCGGCCUGAGAGGGUGACCGGCCACAUUGGGACUGAGAUACGGCCCCGACUCCUACGGGAGGCAGCAGUGGGGAAUAUUGCACAAUGGGCCGAAGCCUGAUGCAGCAACGCCGCGUGCGGGAUGACGGCCUUCGGGUUGUAAACCGCUUUCGCCUGUGACGAAGCGUGAGUGACGGUAAUGGGUAAAGAAGCACCGGCUAACUACGUG
rnacentral:rRNA from 1 species